UCCCCGGCCCCGAGCUGCACCUUGCGAGCUCUGUGUUGUCCCCGCCUAGCGCACAAUGGACUCUCUGCUCCUCCCCCUGCUCCUCCUGGCUCUGGCCCCGGGUGUCUGGUCCCAGCUCCGGCUCCAGGAGUCCGGCCCGGGGGUGCUGAAGCCCGGAGAGACCCUCACACUCACCUGCGCUGUCACCGGGGGCACCGUCACCAGCAGCAACUACUGGAACUGGAUACGCCAGGCCCCGGGCCAAGGGCUGGAGUGGAUGGGAUACUGGACCGGGAGCACAAGCUACGCCCCGUCUCUCCAAGGCCGAAUCACCAUCUCCGUGGAUUCCUCCAAUACCAAAUAUUAUCUGCAGCUGAGCUCGCUGACACCUGCAGACACUGGCACCUAUUACUGCGCCAGAGACACAGUGACACAGAGCCCAGCAGGGCCCCGUGCAAAAAGGAGAAGCGGAUUCUGA